rnacentral:rRNA from 1 species
AUGUGUACUUGUUUGACGGAGCCUUACCUCCUGGUGAACGGCGAUGUCCUUUACUGGGUGUCGUCGCAAACCAUGACUUUUACUUUGAAAAAAUUAGAGUGUUCAAAGCAGGCCUUUGCCCGCAUACAUUAGCAUGGAAUAAUAAAAUAGGACGCGCGUUCCCAUUUUGUUGGUUUCUGAGAUCGCCGUAAUGAUUAAUAGGGAUAGUUGGGGCAUUUGUAUUCCGUCGUCAGAGGUGAAAUUCUUGGAUUGCCGGAAGACAAACUACUGCGAAAGCAUUUGCCAAGGAUGUUUUCAUUGAUCAAGAACGAAGGAAGGGGGAUCGAAAACGAUUAGAUACCGUUGUAGUCUCUUCUGUAAACUAUGCCAAUUGGGGAUCGGUACAGGAUUUUUAAUGACUGUAUCGGCACCCGAAGAGAAAUCUUUAAAUGAGGUUCGGGGGGGAGUAUGGUCGCAAGGCUGAAACUUAAAGGAAUUGACGGAAGGGCACCACCAGGUGUGGAGCCUGCGGCUUAAUUUGACUCAACACGGGGAAACUCACCAGGUCCAGACACAAUAAGGAUUGACAGAUUGAUAGCUCUUUCUUGAUCUUGUGGUUGGUGGUGCAUGGCCGUUCUUAGUUGGUGGAGUGAUUUGUCUGGUUAAUUCCGAUAACGAACGAGACCUUAACCUGCUAAAUAGACCAGCCGGCUUUGGCUAGCUGCUGUCUUCUUAGAGGGACUAUCAGCGUUUAGCUGAUGGAAGUUUGAGGCAAUAACAGGUCUGUGAUGCCCUUAGAUGUUCUGGGCCGCACGCGCGCUACAC